UUCUAUUUUUGCAAUAAACAUUAUCAUGCUCUACAUAUAAUUCUGUUUUAUGACUUGAUCCUUGCCAAACUCUGCUACUUGAUUGUUUUCACUUAGUGUCUUAUUGUUCCCUCUAAGCCAACACCUUUGUCCCAGACUCAUACCCUUGCAUUUGCUGGGCCACUUGAUUAUAAAAGCCCACUCAUUGGAAAAGAGCCUAAUGCUGGGAAAGAUUGAAGGCAGGAGGAGAAGAGGGUAACAGAGGAUGAGAUGGUUGAUGGCAUCACUGACUCAAUGGAUGUGACUUGGAGCAAACUCCAGGAGAUAGUGAAGGACAGAGAAGACUGAUGUGCUGCAGUCCAUGACGUCACAAAGAGUCAGUCGUAACUUAGUGACUGAACAACAGCAGCUGCCUGCGAUACUCCUCCUCCAUGACUCUUCCUUGGCCUACUUCGUUAUUCAUGUCACAGGUAUCCCACAUUGCAGGCGGAUUCUUUACUGUCUGAGCCACCAGGGAAGCCCAAAGUGAUAUAAGAUGAGGUCAUAAUCUGAAAUUGGAAUGUUGGAGGUAUCCUGUUACUGAUCUUGUCAACACAAAGGGUGCAAAGCAAAGUAAGGGAUGGUUGUAAAUUACAGUGCAUUGCAUUAGUGAUGAUGAGGUCAAAUAGCUCAGAGUAAAAUCUUUGUAUUGGAAGGAAUCUGAGUAUCUCUGUAGUUUCACAACUUCUUUUCCACAUUCAUAACUCUGAUAAGGAAACCAGCAGGACACAUUUGCCACUCCUGCUCCUUGGGGUCAUAUUUUGAAGAUAAUGAUCUACAUGUAAGCCUUUGUCUCCAGCUCUGCUUUCAGAGAACUCAAGCUUAGACUAAUUUGAUUUAUGCCUCAAGCGACCCUAGUUAGCAGACCUUUUGAAUGGGAUUAUAAAGCUGUAUAAACCACAGAUCAGACAGCAAAGUGGACAUACUUCUUGAUGAAAAUACAAUUUGGAGAAGGAACAAAUGUCGAAAAUAUAUUUUUCGCCUCCUUGAAUAUUUGGGAAUGCUGUGAAGAAAUCGCUUAAUUUAAAAAGGACUAUGAAAUCUUGUUUCUCUCCUGUCUUGGAUCUAAUGUGACCAAAAAGACAAUUAUGUGAAAUUUUAACACAAUAGUUGAUAGAAACAUUUUGCAUUAUCUGACCAAAUAGGCAGAAUUUUCAAAACAAAACACAGCUUUUGAGUUCCCCAUUGGUUCUUGACUCUAUAAAUUAAGUGCUUUCUUACAACAGCUGUGACAGUGUUUGCGCUAAUAAAAGCUGAAACAAUACCUAGAAUAAAC
ensembl:lncRNA